GGAAGCCUCGGGCGUGCCUGGUAAGGUCCUGCCGUAUCCGCCUCCUUCUUGUCCAGUUGUGGGAGGGGCUCUGGAGCCCCGGGACUCUAAGAUGGCCAAUGACGGAGACCCGUUGGGCCAGGCCAGGUCGCAGACAAUGUCGACUGUUUGUUUAAGAAGCGUGGACUCUUGUCCUGAGUGUACCGAAGCUUUCAGCCUGCGGGACGGUGGUGCGAUUUGCAUUAGAGAAAGGGAGAUGCCAUGUGCUGGCCCAGCACUCCAAUAGGGGCCUGACCUCUAGGAACCGGACACUGGAGGAAGCCUAGACAUUUGAACAAAUCAAGUCAUCCAGAUCCAUGGUCAGCUCCUGCCCUGACUUGGCCUUCCUCCUGCUGGGCUGGCCCACGGACCUCGGGAACCUGCCCUGGCUGUGGGUGACCUGCAGCCUAUCUCCCAGGACUAUGGAAGCCCCAUGUAGGAACAUGGUUCUAAGACUUUGGGGCUUACACCCUAUGCUUAAAGAACUGGAGAAGCCCCUGAAGUCCCGAGACCACAACCCUCCACCUUCUAAAGAUAAGACAAGUCACUGAAGGUCUCAGAACUGUGGCCCAUCCACCCCUUCCCUCAAGACAAGAGUGUGGCCAAGCAUCAACCUCACCCCCAGAGACCAGACGGUGUCCAGGUCUUGGGCUGAUGAAACCUGCUCCUUGGGGAUGGUCUUUCUGGCCGUGCUUCCAAAGGGCUGGCCUGCAAUCAGCUGGUUUUCACCUGAUCCUUUCGGGGUUUGCAUUUUAUCUGACUGAAGGAAUGAACUGGGAGAGAACAGCAGAGCCACAGCGGAAUGUGGAAAGGUCUACGUCAAGACUGUUCCCAUCCUGAUUUAAAAGCCUGAUGAAGGAACAGCUGAAACCAGAGAAACAGCAGACUUUGAGAAGCACUGGUGUAGAAGACAUUCUAAUAUCUCCUGACUGCACCAAAUUGGGAGCCUAUAGUUAAUUGUGUAGUUAAUUGUAUUCCAAAAUAUUCAUUUGGAAGUCAUUUGGUAAGAAAUUCACAUAUAAAAAAAGGUUAUGCUAGCAAAUAACAGAUGAAAUG